rnacentral:rRNA from 1 species
GAGAGAGACAUGCGCGCAUAUCAAUAAGCGGAGGAAAAGAAACUAACAAGGAUUCCCUUAGUAACGGCGAGUGAAGCGGGAAGAGCUCAAAUUUGAAAUCUUCAAGGUUUUACCUUGACGAAUUGUAGUUUAAAGAAGUGUUUUCUGUUGAAGUUUUGGUAAAAGUUCUUUGGAAUAGGACAUCAUAGAGGGUGAGAAUCCCGUAUUUGACCAUUAUUUUCAGCUUUGUGAUACACUUUCAAAGAGUCGGAUUGUUUGGGAAUGCAGUCCGAAAUGGGUGGUAAAUUUCAUCUAAAGCUAAAUAUUGGCGAGAGACCGAUAGCGAACAAGUACCGUGAGGGAAAGAUGAAAAGAACUUUGAAAAGAGAGUUAAACAGUACGUGAAAUUGUCAAAAGGGAAGCGUUUGACACCAGUGUUGUUUUCUCGAAAAUCAAUUAAAAAUGGCUCGAUUUUGUAUUGCUGAGACCUUAAAAGCUCACUGUACAUUUUUCGUGUCUUUUUUAAUGCACUUUUCGUUUAACAAGUCAACAUCAGUUUCUUUUGUUGUAAAAGGGUCAUUGGAAGGUGGCUUUCUUUUCGGAGAAAGUGUUUAUAGCCUUUGGCCUCUGCAAUCGGAAGAGACUGAGGUCUGCAGCGUAGACUCUUCGGGGUUAGAUACAUUUGUGCUAAGUUAUAGCUUUUUAUAGACAACUUGUUGACUAUAAUUAGUCUUGUAGCUUACUCGCUUAUGCUAUUUUACCUACGCUUAGGAUGUUGAAGAUGUAGCACAUCAU